rnacentral:misc_RNA from 1 species
UAAUAAGUGUUUUAUGGCACUUUUUAAGUCCAUAUCCACCUUGUGUGCAAUGUCAGUCGAUCUUCUUCAUGGAGAUCGACCAAACAUCAACCUUUAUCUUUUAACUCUUUGUCUGAAAAAUAUUAUGAAUAAACAAUUCGAAAUA